GCAAUACUUAAGACGGAAGAACU
rnacentral:piRNA from 1 species